rnacentral:rRNA from 1 species
GACGAACGCUGGCGGCAUGCCUAACACAUGCAAGUCGAACGAGACCUUCGGGUCUUGUGGCGCACGGGUGGGUAACACGUGGGAACCUGCCCUUAGGUUCGGAAUAACUCCCCGAAAGGGGUGCGAAUACCGGAUCAUGUCUUAGGACCAACGAUUUAUCGCCUUUGGAUGGGCCCGUGUUGGGUUAGCUAGUUGGUAGGGUAAAAGCCUACCAAGGCGACGAUCCAGAGCUGGUCUGAGAGGAUGACCAGCCACAAUGGGACUGCGACACGGCCCAGACUCCGACGGGAGGCAGCAGUGGGGUACAUUGGAGGAGGAGCGAAAGCCUGAUCCAGCCAUGCCGCGUGAGUGAUGAAGGCCUUAGGGUUGUAAAGUCAGCUUACCAGGGAUGAUAAUGACAGUACCGGGAGAAUAAGCUCCGGCUAACUCCGUG